rnacentral:misc_RNA from 1 species
GUCGCCCACUCCUCUUCUGUCUCAAAGUCCCAACGAUGAAGCCUUCCCUUUGCGCGUCCACCCAUGUCCAUUUUUGACAAAUCAGCUUCAUCAUCACUGUCAACAACCUCACGAUUGUACUCUUGGUAACCAGGAUAGCACUCCGAAUAGCUUUCAGAAAUAAAGUUAGGAUCCUUCUCUCUGGCAUCUCUCUCUCUCAAUUGCAGAAGCCUCUGAUCAUCCCUCUUGAACACUGACCCUAGGCCUCUAUCCUUUUCUUCUUGAGUCAUAAACUGUGGAUCCUGAAGACCGUCAACAUCAGCUUGCAUAUCAUAAUUCUGCUGGAGAUAUUGCUCAGGAUAAGCCACCUGUUCAGGAUACUGAUAAUCUUGCCACUCUGGUUGGUAAACACCAGCUACCGCUUGUGCUUGCGCUGCAUCAUAUCCAUUCGUGUAUUGCCAAUCAUGAGAAGGCUCAGAUGGAGGUACUGGGCCAUAGGCAGGUUCACU